GAUCCCUGGUGUCCGCAAAAGAGAAGUCACUCUAAAACUUGGGAAAUUUAUUCUGAGCCAAAUAUGAACACCAGAGGCCUGUGACACAGCCCUAGGAGGUCCUGAGGACCUGGCCCAAGGUGGUCAGGCUCUGCCUUGAUUGUACACAUUUUAGGGAUAUAAGACAGCCAUCGGUACAUCUAAGACAUACAUUGGUUUAGCCAGAAAGGUGGGGUUACUUGAAGGGGAGGGACAACUUGAAGGGAGGGGCUUUCAGGGCAUAAGUGGAUUAAAAGGUGUUUUAGUUGACUGGCAAUUGGCUGAGUCUAUCUGAAGUCCUGGCAUCAACAGAGUGGACUCUUGAUUAUCUAAUGGGUUAGAGGAGGAGCUGUGGAGACGGAGACUCUUAUGCAGAUGAAGCCUCCAGAUUGUCAAUGUUCCAUAUCAGACUUAAAAAGGUGCCAGAAUCUUAGUUAAUUCUCUCCUGGGUCAGCAAAUAGACCGGGAGAGGGAGGGGGAUUCUGUAUAGAAUUUACAUCUUCCUCACGAGAGACAGCUUUGCGGGACCAUUUCAAAACACGCCAAAGAAAUAUAUUUUGGGAUGAAACACUUGGAUUUCUUUCAGGGUGUGCUGUCACAUUGGCAUCUUAUUGCUACAGAGCCUUUUUUGUGAGUCUUAAGGUCUCUGUUUCAUUUUUUGGAGGGAGUUUCACUCGUCGCCCAGGCCGGAGUGCAGUGGCAUAAUCUUGGCUCACUGCAACUUCCGCCUCCCGAGUUCAAGCGAUUCUCCUGCCUCAGCCUCCCAAGUAGCUCGGACCACAGGCUUGCACCACCAUACCCAGCUAAUUUUGUAGUUUUAGUAGAGACAGGGUUUUGCCAUGUUGGCCAGGCUAGUCUCAAACUCCUGACCUCAGGCGAUCCACCAGCCUUGGCCUCCCAAAGUGCUGGGCUUACAGGCGUGAGCCACUGCACCUGGCCUAAGGUCUCCGUGUUUUAAUGUGAAUGCCGGUCAGCUGUGCCUAAACUCUCACGGGAAGAGGGUGUGAUGAGGCACAGAUGGUCAUCAUGGCCUAAACUAGCUUUUCAGGUUUAGUUCAGAAUGCGUUUGGCUAAGAGGUGCCCGUCCCAUUGGCUGGGGUUGCUUAGAACUUUGCUUUUGAGUUUAAACCAGGGAGCAACUUCAGGGAGCAAGGGCCUUUUUGGGGGCUCUGUGUUGCCUGCAGCCACUUUUACCCUGCCCCUUGGGCACACAAGGGGCACAGUGCCAGCGGGUGGGCAGGAGGGGUCGGGCAUCCAGAGUGCCCUAGGAGAUGGGCUCGGGGCAGGGGCUGGGUGGGCUGCAGGACUCCUCUUCGUCCUCAGGGACGGUAAAGGAUGGACACACUGCCCCCUCCCGAGCAUUUGAGGAUCUUUGCCCUGCUCAUCUAGGGCCUGUGUUAAGUGUUCCUUUGAGGAGCUGGUGGUUCAGGGCCUGAGGCACAUCUCAGAGGUGCUGGAGGGGAAGAAAGACCUCGGCCUCCUCGGGAGCCCCCCCAGCCCACCAGUGAGCAGUGGGUGGGUGGACAGGCUCUGGGGCCAAGCAUCCCCUGCACUGCCCCGCACCCCUUCCCUGUCCGAGCUCCUCCAAGCCAAUGGGCUUGGUCUAGGCUCUCCUAUCUUCCCUCACACCGUGGACCCUGGGGUGGUGCUUGCUGUCGCUCCGGCUGCUUUUCCCUAGUUGGGGAGAUGAAGCUGCUGGCACAUUGACCCCUGGAGGAAAGGAGUGACUGGGAAUUUAUGUCUAGGGCUCCCAGCAGCCUCUCUGCAAGCCAAUUUGGAAACUGCCCCCGGCCCUGCAUUUUGGGGGGUUACGGAGUCUCUCAGCAGGCCCUCUCCUGCUGCUCCCAAAUUCCAAGGCUGCACUGCUUGGGAGCACAGGACGGUGCAAGGAGCCCCCUCUCCACUUCCCGCUGUGUCCUCCGUGGGCGGGGAAUGACAUCCCAAAGGCCGCAGCAGCUCCUUGAGUCCUGUUUCCCGGCGGAUGCCAGGACAGCAGGCCCUGGGAAGGGAGUUGUCUCCAGCCUUGACACGGCCCAGCGGUGUAGCCGCCGAGGGGAACUCAGCUCCCCGCAGUGUGCGGGGCACAGGGCGCCAACCAACCAGGGCCCGUGGCCCAGGGACACGCGGCUUGUCGGGGGGAGAACCUGGGCCCUCGCUCUCCCUUUCAGGGCGGGCACCGUGGACAGGCGAGGCCAGGCUGCCGGCUCCCAGGCAUGGCGGAGGCCACACCGCUCCGGCUGCCGCCCACCCAGCCACGCUUGAGGAGCGUUCAGCGGCCUCCACCCCGCCCGGGAGGACGGGGGACCGGGGACCUGGAAGGGCCUGGCCCUGGCUUCCCUGCAGCGCCCUCGGAGGCCGGACCAAUGUGCCAGAGCUGAGGGCCCAGGGCUGCGCGGGCGGCCCGGCAGCGUCCCCAAGGGCGACGCCCCACAAGUUUGCCUCCAGGGCCCAGCCAACCCCUAGGGGUGGGAAAGCGUCGGCCCAGCCAGCGGAUCCAGCAGGGCCGCCCCCUUCACCCGUGGCCCACAGGUCAACACUCCGCGUCCUCAUCUCGGGCUGGGACCGCCUUUGCGUCCGCCCUGAGCGGGACCGUGGGAUCCUGGGGAGCCCCGCCUCAGUGCCCCGAAGCCCCGGAAGAGCUACAGCUGCCGCUUCCGGUCAUGACCGGAAGUGUCCGAACGGCAUUCGCCCUCCCUAUGAAAUGACGCACUUCCUGCCUGAGGCGGCCGCUGUUCUCACGGUUUCCAGCAGGUGGCGCUGGGACCACGGAAAGCCGGCGCGGCGGUCGGUUAGCCCUCGAGCAUUCUGGGAAUUGCAGGCGUGGCCCCUCCUUUUCCUGUUCUCCUUGGUCAGUUCCGGUCUUGUUUCGCCAACAAAUGCCGCGGUUCCGGGGCUGUUUCCGAGCCGGACGCCAGGGCCGCGGUGUCCUGGAGUAGAGAGGCGGACGCAUGCGCACAAGACUACACGUCCCGACAGGCGUCGGGAGCGGCGGCCCAGUGCCUUGUGGGAGGUGUAGUUUUGCGGGCGUGGAAGCCGCGGCGCUCGGCCGGAUGAACACUCGGUUUCCCAGAGGGCUGAGCGCGUUGCAUGGGCGGGCGGAGCCGACCAAGAUGGAGACGGCCGUGCCGCCUUGAGCUGUCGAGCAGCUAAACAGACCCAUGCCAGGGGCACUCCGAGGCCUGAGACAACCAUACCUGUGCCACUGAGGACCUUCAUCAAGGUUCCGCCCACCUGGCUGUGCAGCCACACUCCAGUGUCAGCAGCCAAGGGAGGUGUGACGUGGUCCUG